rnacentral:lncRNA from 1 species
UCUCUGCAUGUGCAUAAUGCACCCAGGAAGAAAGUGUGGCCCUCUGCAAGCCAGGAAGAGAGCGACUACCAGAAACCAAAUUUUCUGGCCCCCUGAUUGUAGACUUCUAGCCUCCAGAACUAUAUUCUUCUGCCUCUGCCGCUCCUGAGACAGUAAGACCAACCCCUCCUCUUCCUCCUCCUCCACAGCCUACUCAGUGUGAAGAUGAUGAGGAUGAAAACCUUUAUGAUGAUCCACUUCCACUUCAUGAAUGAAUUCCAGUUAAUGAUUUUCUUAAUAACAUUUUCUUUUCUCUACAUCACUUUAUUGUAAGAAUACAAGUAUAUAAUACAUUUAACUUAUUAUUAACUUAAAUAUGUGUCAAUCAACGGUUUAUGUUAUUGGUAAGGCUUCUGGUCAACAGUAGGCUAUUAGUAAAGUUUUGGGAGAGUGAAAAGUUAUACAGAGUUUUGACUACAUGGUGGGGGGAGGGUCAGUGCCCCAACCCCUGCAUUGUUCAAGGUUCAUUCAACUUUACAUAUAUCAUUGUGAACAGGAUGUUGGUACAAAUAUGGAUGUUAAAGGCCAUUCUGGUGAGGUCUCAGACCAAAAUGAAAAAUAGGUUAUUGGAAACUGAGAAAAGGUGAUUGUUGUUAUAAAGCGUUAAAGAACUUGGCUGAAAUGUGUUCUAACAUAGGGGUCCCCAAUCCCUGGGCUGCACACUGGUACCAGUCCGUGGCCUAUUAGGAACCAGGCCGCACAGCAGGAGGUGAGUGGCGGGCAAGUAAGCAUUGCUACCUGAGCUCUGCCUCUUGCCAGAUCAGCACUGGUGUUAGAUUCUCAUAGGAGCACAGAGCCUAUUGUGACCUGUGCAUGUGAGGAAUCUAGCUUGUACACUCCUUAUGAGAAUCUAAUGAGUGCCUGAUGAUUUGAGGUGAAACAGUUUCAUCCCAAACCCUUCCCAUCCCCUCAGUCUGUGGAAAAAGUGUCUUCAUGAACCUGGUUUCUGGUGCCAAAAACGUCGGGGACUGUUGUUCUAGGGUUUUUAGGGAGGUAGAACUUGUGGGUGAUGAAAUUGAUAUUUAACUAAGAUGUCUCAGCAAAGUGUUGAAGGAGCAGCAUGGUUUCCCCUUAUCACUUACAGUAAAAUAUGAGAGGGGAGAGAUACAUUGAAGGAAUUGUUAAGCAAAAAGAAAUCAGACUUGGAGAUUUGGAAAAUUCUCAGCAUCCCCAUAUUGAAAAAAAAAAAUGGAGAACUUCUGAAGAGAAGAUAACUUUUGAAGAGAACAUUGUAAGUGAGGCUGAGCAACCCUUUGAUAGGAAAUUGGUUUGGAUGUGAAGCACGGAUUUAAUCAGUCAUCGCAGCAAAAGCCAGAGAUGUAGAUGGGGUGAUACCAGCAGAAACAAUGCAAGCUGAGACUAAAGCAGACAGAGAGAAAAAAAGGAUGGAAUGAAGGAAGGCUGUUGGACUUCUGGAAUUCUACAGGAUGAGACAAUAAAGCUCUUUGGGUUUUGUUUUGAGACAGAGUCUUGCUCUGUCACCCAGGCUGGAAUGCAGUGGCGCAAUCUCAGCUCACUGUAACCUCUGCCUCCCUCCCAGGUUCAAGCAAUUUUCCUGCCUCCGCCUCCCAGGAAUUACAAGAGUGUGCCACCACACCAAGCUAAUUUUUGUAUUUUUAAUAUAGACAGGAUUUCACCAUGUUGGCUAGGCUGAUCUCGAACUACUGACCUCAAGUGAUCC